rnacentral:sRNA from 1 species
CAAUCUAUCUAUCGCUGCUAAUCUAUCGCUGCUAAUCUAUCGCUGCCAACCUAUCUAUCGCUGCCAAUUUAUCUACCACUGCCAAUCUAUCUAUCGCUGCUAAUCUAUCGCUGCCAACCUAUCUACCGCGGCGAAUCUAUCCAUCGCUGCCAAUUUAUCUACCACUGUCAAUCUAUCUAUUGCUGCUAAUCUAUCGCUGCUAAUCUAUUGCUGCUAAUCUAUCGCUGCUAAUCUAUCGCUGCCAACCUAUCUACCGCGGCGAAUCUAUCUAUUGCUGCCAACCAAUCUACCACUGCCAACCUAUCUAUUGCUGCCAAUCUAUCGCUGCCAAUCUAUCGCUGCCAACCUAUCUACUGCAGUGAAUCUAUCUAUCACUAUCAUUACUAGUUCAAAAUAGAACUAGAGCAUAAAUACACUAAACUUCUUUUGAUAGAUAAUGAUUUUUGGUAACACUCAUAGCAUUAUAUCAUCUAUAUAGGGUAAAUCAUGGUUCCAUUUGGUCCCAUUUUAACAAAAUGGGACCAAAUGGGACCAGAAUCAGUAAUUUAUAAGAAGAACAUGAUCUGAGACUAGAUUUAUAAUAUAAACAGUGUAAAGUGACUAAUUUAAUAAACACUAUAUG